GGGAGGAGCAUGGAGAAGCCAAAUAUGUAGGAAAGGCAUCCUCUUCUUAACUCAGACUGCUGAGUCCCUAAUUACCAGCUGCAGACCACCAAUAAGGGUGGAGCACCAUGCCUGGACAUAGUGGCCAUGCUUUUAUAUUUGGACUGGACAAAAGGGAUCUUGAUAAGAGUUUAGCCUUGGAAGGACUCCUACAGAGAGCAUCUAUGACCCCCAAAGACAGAUUUCAGGCCUACUAAAAGUCUCUUUCUCAUGAGACACUUACCCAUUGGUCAAAUGACUUCUCAUUCAUGGUGUUAUCAGUCCUGUUACAAUGUUGUUUAACCUGUAACAUGGAUAUAAUAUCUGCCCUGCCUUCAUUUUAGGAUUCUAGGGAAGUGCUUGGAAGAGCACCAAGUGCAAUGCAACUAUAGGGUUAUUAAUAAUGUUGCUAUUAUACAUUUUGAUUGAUGAGAUUUUGACAAUGGGAAGGCCCCUCUCUCCCCACUCUGGCCACAGGACCUGUUCCUAAAAGUACAUCUCAGUCCACACUCCAAAGACAUUUCUUGGAAACGCUUCUCAUUGUGGUUCAUUCUAUAAAAAAGGUGCUCCGGCUCCAAGUGGGCAUGAAAGUUCAUCACAACAUUUGCCAUCAAUAAAAACCCAAUUCUUUCCAUGUGAAAAGCA